CAAGCUUCUUAGCCUUUUGGCUAAGAUCAAGUGUUGUAUCUAUUUUUAUCAGUUUAAUAUAUGAUACAUCUUCUAUAUGAGGACUCAAUAUUAAACGGAUUUUUAGAGCUGGGAGCGGGUGAAGAGGCUUGCCCCGUCCAUGCCACGCAUCGACCUGGUAUUGAGUGGUAGCUCAAGUGGUUAAGGCUCU